AUUAUAGGUUAGAAUAUGUGGUGAAUGGUGAUAGAUGUGAAGUGCAGUCCAAAAGGUUGAGAAUCGUCACAGUCCACAGAUAUAUUUAGUUUAUAGAACAAUGGUCAACAGAUUGAUACUUUAAGACAAAAAAAAACAAAAUAAUUAAAUUAAUAUUCUUUUGUGCAAUUCUGCAAGUGCGGGUACGCUCCGUUAUUUAAUUUCCACUUCAGUGGAACUUCCCCACACUAACGAAUUUUAAAACCAAGAAGAAUAAUUCGUAAUAUCUUAUAUUAUUACGAAGUCAUAUGAACUAAGGUGACACCAAGAUUCUAUUAAUACAAAGCGAGUGUACCGCUACUCAAAUUGCCUACUUUGGUACUAAGACCAACCUAAUGUACCGAAAUACAUAAGUUUUUCCUGUCGACAACGGCAGUAAGCAAAUGAUGAAGUCAAAUAAAUUCAGUACUGCUGAUAUUCUAGAUAGUACGUUGUAUUAACUUGUAUAUUCUCGGAGGUGUCAACGACCACCAUUCUUCAUCCCCCGCUUAUGACACCAUGGGAGGGUACAAGUGUACAACGUCACAACGACCACGGCAGUCACACUCAGAACUACGCGAUGUCCUGGGGGGCGGCGGCGGACUCAGGUUGGCCCUAGAAGAGGCGUCCAGAACGCGAUGUCCAAGGUGACGGACUCAGAUCGGCCCGUCAAGAGCAGGCCUAAAAUUUUUAAUACAUACAUGUAUUGUAUUAAUUAUAAGAUAUCAGAGCACGAAGAGAUAUCAUGGUAUACUCAAAGCGUCCCGAUAAAUACCAACACCACUUAUAGUGAGAAACAGCAACUACAGUCGGAACCUCGCAUAUACUGUCAAAUGUGAACUCAUUUUUUCACGCAAAUUUUGAUCUGAAAAAACAAGGGAUUUUUAAUUUGACGUUUCGGUUAGUCUAAACCUUUGUAUAAUUCGAUUUUAACUUUUAAAAUAGGUAUUGUGCCUAUAAAUGUUAUGAUUUAAUAUUUUUAUUAAAACCUUUAAUCUAUGUGUUUUUAAUUUAAUACCUAUAGAUGAUGUUUUAUAUUACGUUUAAAAUAUCUAUAUUUAUUGAAUUAUUUGCAUGUGACUAUGAGUAAUGUUUAAGUCUAGGGAUUUUUAUUUCAGGAUUUAUGGCACUUGCCAUAUCUUGUAUACCUACCCAGUAGGUAAUUAAAAAAUUUAAACAUGUUAUAUUAUUAUAUAAUAUGAUCUGUUUGUUAUUAAAUACAUGA